rnacentral:rRNA from 1 species
UCAGUAGCUUAACCUUCGGGAGGGCGCUUACCACUUUGUGAUUCAUGACUGGGGUGAAGUCGUAACAAGGUAACCGUAGGGGAACCUGCGGUUGGAUCACCUCCUUACCUUAAAGAA